rnacentral:rRNA from 1 species
UACGUAGGGUGCAAGCGUUGUCCGGAAUUAUUGGGCGUAAAGAGCUCGUAGGCGGUCUGUCGCGUCGGCUGUGAAAACCCGGAGCUCAACUCCAGGCCUGCAGUCGAUACGGGCAGACUGGAGUUCGGCAGGGGAGACUGGAAUUCCUGGUGUAGCGGUGAAAUGCGCAGAUAUCAGGAGGAACACCGGUGGCGAAGGCGGGUCUCUGGGCCGAUACUGACGCUGAGGAACGAAAGCGUGGGGAGCGAACAGG